rnacentral:tRNA from 1 species
UCCCGUGUAGCUCAGUUGGUACAGCAUGGUGUUUGCAAUGCCAGGGUUGUGGGUUCGAUUCCCACGGGAG